AACAGACCGAUUCGAAGAUUCGACCUGGACUCUAUCCGAGGCCGCCCAACCUGUCCGAGCAGCGCGUCGAACCCAAGAGGGCUUUCUGGGUGUUGAAGCACGGACUUAAAAUGAGCGGCAUGCCGGCUUGGGGCCUCACACACGACGACGCGACACUCUGGAGCAUCAUCGCGUUUGUCACCAGGCUGCGCCGGGGGAGCAUUACAAGGGUUGGUUGGCCAAGGCACCUCCCGACGAAGAAAUGGAAUCCAUGAAUAAGAGUGACGAUCAGAAGCCGGGAAAAGACAAAAAGUC
rnacentral:misc_RNA from 1 species